AGUGAACGCUGGCGGUAGGCCUAACACAUGCAAGUCGAACGGCAGCACAGUAAGAGCUUGCUCUUACGGGUGGCGAGUGGCGGACGGGUGAGGAAUACGUCGGAAUCUACUUUUUCGUGGGGGAUAACGUAGGGAAACUUACGCUAAUACCGCAUACGACCUACGGGUGAAAGCAGGGGAUCUUCGGACCUUGCGCGAUUGAUUGAGCCGAUGUCGGAUUAGCUAGUUGGCGGGGUAAAGGCCCACCAAGGCGACGAUCCGUAGCUGGUCUGAGAGGAUGAUCAGCCACACUGGAACUGAGACACGGUCCAGACUCCUACGGGAGGCAGCAGUGGGGAAUAUUGGACAAUGGGCGCAAGCCUGAUCCAGCCAUACCGCGUGGGUGAAGAAGGCCUUCGGGUUGUAAAGCCCUUUUGUUGGGAAAGAAAAGCAGCAGGUUAAUACCCCGCUGUUCUGACGGUACCCAAAGAAUAAGCACCGGCUAACUUCGU
rnacentral:rRNA from 1 species